UAACGCGUGGGUAACCUGCCUUGUACUGGGGGAUAGCAGCUGGAAACGGCUGGUAAUACCGCAUAAGCGCACAAUGUUGCAUGACAUGGUGUGAAAAACUCCGGUGGUAUAAGAUGGACCCGCGUCUGAUUAGCUAGUUGGUGAGAUAACAGCCCACCAAGGCGACGAUCAGUAGCCGACCUGAGAGGGUGACCGGCCACAUUGGGACUGAGACACGGCCCAGACUCCUACGGGAGGCAGCAGUGGGGAAUAUUGCACAAUGGAGGAAACUCUGAUGCAGCGACGCCGCGUGAGUGAAGAAGUAAUUCGUUAUGUAAAGCUCUAUCAGCAGGGAAGAUAGUGACGGUACCUGACUAAGAAGCUCCGGCUAAAUACGUGCCAGCAGCCGCGGUAAUACGUAUGGAGCAAGCGUUAUCCGGAUUUACUGGGUGUAAAGGGAGUGUAGGUGGCCAUGCAAGUCAGAAGUGAAAAUCCGGGGCUCAACCCCGGAACUGCUUUUGAAACUGUGAGGCUGGAGUGCAGGAGGGGUGAGUGGAAUUCCUAGUGUAGCGGUGAAAUGCGUAGAUAUUAGGAGGAACACCAGUGGCGAAGGCGGCUCACUGGACUGUAACUGACACUGAGGCUCGAAAGCGUGGGGAGCAAACAGGAUUAGAUACCCUGGUAGCCCACGCCGUAAACGAUGAAUACUAGGUGU
rnacentral:rRNA from 1 species